rnacentral:misc_RNA from 1 species
ACUUGUUGUAUUUCAGAGAAUGAAUGAACCCUACGACUACCUGUUCAAGUUCCUAGUGAUAGGUUCAGCUGGAACAGGAAAAUCCUGUUUACUUCAUCAGUUUAUUGAAAACAGGUUCAAAGAGGACAGCAGUCAUACUAUAGGAGUUGAGUUUGGGAGUAAAAUAAUUCCUGUUGGUGGACGGAGUGUUAAACUUCAAAUCUGGGAUACAGCAGGACAAGAGAGAUUUAGAUCUGUUACAAGGAGCUAUUACAGGGGAGCAGCAGGUGCGCUACUUGUCUACGAUGUGAGUUCCCGUGAAUCCUUUAAUAACCUGGCGAACUGGUUGACAGACGCCAGGACCCUCGCCAGCCCAGCUAUAGUCAUUAUCCUAGUCGGGAACAAGAAGGACCUAGAGGAGGAGAGGGAGGUCACAUUCCUUGAAGCGAGCAGGUUUGCCCAGGAGAACGGACUCAUGUUCUUAGAGACAAGUGCCAAGACCGGAGACAGUGUUGAAGAGGCCUUUCUUAAAUGUUCAAAGAAUAUUCUUGCUAAAAUUGAAUCCGGAGAAUUGGACCCGGAAAGGAUAGGAUCAGGGAUCCAGUACGGAGAAUCUCUUCUCCGGAGAACUGAUCAACUCUCCGCUACUCGGAGAACUCCUGACUGUUCAGCUCUCACGGGAUCUUGUAAAAUAUAAUCGUAGUCAUUCCACAUCAACAAAUUAUACUUUAUUUUUCAUCAUUAUUAUAACUCAUUAUUCAUAUUAUUAUUAUUUUGCCUGAGAUCGCAACUUUUGUAAUUUUAACCCCAUGAAAAGCACUAAUCCAUAUCCAGGAUGGAGGACAUCGAGUUGAAAGAUUUAUUUCUGGCAAGAUCAAAUUCUUAAAUCCUUUAUUGUACCAAAUAUUGCGUUAAAUCUUGAAACCUAAAAUUUUGAUCUGGGAUGAGCAAUCUCAAUUAUGUCAGUUUUAUUGUAAAUAAACUGCUAUUCGACAGUAAUGAGACAUAAAGGACGACAUUUCUAAUGUGAUAAAAAUCUAUCUAUUAUUUUUAAUUAACUAAACUAACUUACAGCUUUGUUUUAUUUUUUUCUAAAAUUAUUGAGAUCUGAAUUCUUGAAAUAUUUAUAUCUUGUGAUACCAAACUACACGCAGAGAAUAUUUAAAAUAAAUUUUGCAUUUA